CAGUAGCCGCGGUAAUACAGAGGGUGCGAGCGUUAAUCGGAUUUACUGGGCGUAAAGCGUGCGUAGGCGGCUUUUUAAGUCGGAUGUGAAAUCACUGAGCUUAACUUAGGAAUUGCAUUCGAUACUGGGAAGCUAGAGUAUGGGAGAGGAUGGUAGAAUUCCAGGUGUAGCGGUGAAAUGCGUAGAGAUCUGGAGGAAUACCGAUGGCGAAGGCAGCCAUCUGGCCUAAUACUGACGCUGAGGUACGAAAGCAUGGGGAGCAAACAGGAUUAGAUACCCCCGUAGUCCCUGUCUCUUAUAC
rnacentral:rRNA from 1 species